CCUACGGGAGGCAGCAGUGGGGAAUAUUGCACAAUGGGGGAAACCCUGAUGCAGCGACUCCGCGUGUGGGAAGAAGUAAUUCGUUACGUAAAGCUCUAUCAGCAGGGAAGAAAAUGACGGUACCUGAGUAAGAAGCCGCGGCUAACUACGUGCCAGCAGCCGCGGGAUUACGUAGGGGGCAAGCGUUAACCGGAUUUACUGGGUGUAAAGUGAGCGUAGACGGGGCGGCAAGUCUGGAGUGAAAUGCCCGGGCUUAACUGGGGAACCGCUUUGGAAACUGGCGAACUAGAGUGCGGGAGGGGUAAGCGGAAUUCCACGUGUAGCAGUGAAAUGCGUAGAUAUUUGGAGGAACACCGGUGGCGAAGGCAGCUUACUGGAACGUAACUGACGUUGAGGCUCGAAAGCGUGGGGAGCAAACAGGAUUAGAUACCCUUGUAGUC
rnacentral:rRNA from 1 species